AGGAAAAAGGAGGAAGAAGGGGAUGUUUGGAGUGAUGGUGUUCAUCUUCCCAAGCCACCAUUACAGGUCAUCCAGCACAACUUUCCUGGAGACUGCUGAACACCUGACUGCUCAUGGGAAGUGGGGAAUGAAUUCUUUGCACUGCUGAAAACAGAAGAUUGGGAAAGAAAAAGACAUAGUGAUAGAUAAGUUUGAUGCCCUGGAAAGAAGGAUCAACACUCUUCAGAGGAUGAAUGAAGAGUACAUGAUGCAGAUGCUGAUGUACUUUCACUUCUGACAUUCCUACCGAUAAGCAGCAUGCAAUACCAACCAGAAAAGUCACAAAAGAAAGAAACCCUAGAAGAAAGGAGUAAGCAACUUGUUUACUUGGAUCUUGAAAACCCCCAGGGAUGGUACAGCUACCAUGUCCCUGGGAAGGCUGUUCCUGAUUGAUAGUUUUCACUGUAAAAAAUUUCUUCUUGAAUUGGGAUGAAACCUCUCUCAAUGCAGCUUUUACCUGUA